AAUAAGGAGGUGAAAUGCCCAAUCCUACAUUUAACUGCUGUAGCUGAACCCGUUGGAGAUCUCCCCACCGUUCUUGUCGGAAGACGAUGGAGCUUUUGGCGGCCCAGGCGGCGGUGAUGAUGUUUCUGUUAAGUAGUCUCAUCCUCUCCGCCGUGAAAUCCGCCGAAGACUUUGACGACGCCUCAAUCCUCCAACGAAAGUAACCUGUAGCUGGGCUUUGCGCUCAACUUAUCAAACCUUCUGGUUUCCCUUGCUCAGAACACAAAACACAAACAAAAGAUGGAUUCGUACAGGGACUUCAGCGUGUGUCAUCUAGCUCUGGAAAUCUCAGAAGACAAAGGGGUCCUCCAGUUCUGCUUAUUCGUGGACUUUUUAUGGCAGGUGAUGCAUGGUUCUUGGAUAACCCAAAUCAGUCCUUGGGGUUUAUCCUUGCAAAUCGUGGUUUUGAUGUCUGGGUUGGUAAUGUGAGUGGGACACGCUGGUGUCAUGGCCAUGUAUCUUUAUUAGAGAAAAAUAGGGUACUACUCCUUAUGCUUUGAAUACCUUUUUGAAUAAGAAUUCUUACCAUUUUAAAUAUAAUCAGAAGAUGGUUCCAACGAACAAAAAAGAAAGACUUUUAUGUUUAAAGGAUCAUUAUUCAUGGUACUUGCACAAAUCUUUAGCCAGCCUUGGCUACUAUAAGUUUCAGUUUAAGUAAACUCUCAUAUGAUGAUUCGUCGAUAUCCACAAUAUGCAUUCUUUUCACAGUGAUUGCUAAGUUAUUUUUCAAAUGAGAACAUGAAAAACUCGUAGAUGGGUUCAGUUUAUAUGGACAUUUAUCAACAAACGGCAUUGUUAAACUCAAAUCUGAGCCAGAGCAUGUGCAGCAAUAGCAGUUGAUGAAUUUGUUGCCUCUCAAACUUGCCGUGAUAAAAUGGUACUCAUGAUUUAAGAUUCAUAUUCUGAUGACGAAAGUAGGGGAGAAGAUUCAAAUGUCGACGACAAAUGAAGUGGACAGCGGUGGUCAGCGGCAUGGCGGUGCCGGUGCUUCUUCGUGUUUUUUUUCAAGAUCAUGACAACAUUAUUUUAGCCACCGAGACCGUUCAAUAUUUGGUAAGCUUUAAGGAAUUAGUUGGGGAAUUCUAGAAUGUUAAUUUUGUGGAUUUUAUCAGCUUCUUUUGCUGGAUUUGAAUCAAUCUUUGGUCAAUUUAGUGUCUGAAAGAUAGGAUUGCUUAUAUUUGUUUUCUUUAAUUUCAAACGGCAAAAGUAAUGUGGCGAAAUGGAAAUAUGGUAAAUAUGUAUAGUUAAAAAUAUUCACUGGAGUCUCAAUCUUCUGGCCAAGAAUAUAGCUCAAAAAGAUUCACUGGGAUCUCAAUCUUGUAGCCAACAAUCUUACUGUAAAUGAGAUAUGGGUUGAUGCAUUUUUAAAUCUACUUCACAUCUUAAUUAACAUCUCUUAAUCAUAAUGCUGCUUAUCUUUAUUAUGUUAACAACCACUUGGAUGAACAACAAGCACUGUGGCAAUAUUAUUUUGAUGUUAUAUUAUGGUAUCACUGGCUCAACCAUGAUAGAAAGGGCCUCAUCAACUGGAACUCGACAAUUGUAAUUGUAAGUAGUCAAGGCUUCAUUUGAAUGUGUUAUCAUGUUCUUCUUUCUAUAUAAUAUUAGAAUGAGUAGAAACUUGAAAAUAGUUUGCAUAAAGAAGUCAUCAAAUCGUUUAUUUAUUUCUUAAAUAGUACAGUUUUUUAUUUUAUUUUAUUUUAUUUUAUGGAGCUAUGCUUCAAUGGAUUCUAUGCACCUCGGGAACGAUAACACAUAGCUUCACUGUGAAGGAAGUGAUUAUAUUGAAUGUGGGGUCUUGAAGAAGUUCAAAGACAAGAUGUUUGAGUUCCAGGUAAAUUGGAUACACGAUAUAAUGGAAAGGUUUCAAUUUCUUCUUUCCAUUUCUCAAUAUCUCUUAAUAAUAUUUUUCUAUUGGGUUUAAGACAAAAUAUCCAUCAGGAGUAUCGUGAAGUUGUCAAGAGGUGUGUCUUCACAGGUUUUAACCCUUAUUAUAUGAAAUGAACCUGUGCAACUCUGUGUAAUAGCUUCCUUUCUCUCUAUUCAAUUAACAAUUUCUUUUUUCAUGAACCUCAGUAACUGGAAGUCAAGUUAAUGAAGAGACAAUUGAUAGAUUGUUCGGAACUGGGGAUAGUGAACAAAUUCUUAUGACAUUGUUGGAGAAAUGAAGUUUGAAUUCCUCAUUCUAGAAAAUGCCCGAUUGUGGGCUCACAUUUCACAACGGAGCAACUUGAAGUAUGUGAAGACGGUCAUGGAGACCUUCGACAAUUGACAGUGUGAGGACUUUCGAAACUCCUGCCUCGACUUCCUAGUCGAGGUGUCUGAAAUACAGUUCUCUGCACAGUUCAUCCAACAGUUGGUAUUCAAAUAUAUGAUUUAAGAGUCACAUGUUGGUAAUGUAGAGCUCCAUUACGACCCAGUGAAUGAAACACUGCAUGAGAUGUAUGUGGCUAUGGAGGAUUCGUGACUGAUUACGAGAAACACUUGUGGACAUUAGGGAAAAAAGUGCAAAAAUGUCCUUGCAAAAUUCGUGAUACAUGGAACAUGAGCUCCUUCAGAUGAGGCGUGCUGGCAUGCCAUGUAUGCAAGGUAGCCUGAAGCACGACAUUGCACUGUCGAGGGAGAAAAUGAACAGUUACAAAGCGUGCCGCGUCAGGACUACGGGCCCAUAUUGUUUCUUGGAAAGUGGGAUACUAUCGUUCAACCUUUUGGCUCAAGUCCAUUAUUAGAGGCCUGGCCGUUGGAUAGUAGUUGAAGAAAUUGUACCUUUGCAUCUGCCAAAGAUGUUGCCAAUAUUAUCUAUGUGCUAGAAGUUGGUCUACUGUUUCUUAGUUGAAUGUUGUAAUGCGAUAAUUGAAUAUCAGUAGUGUGGGAUUAGUGCAUAGCGAAUGCAUGGAUUUUGCAAAAAAUAAAUGGUUAUGUACACUAUAAUUUGUUUUGUAAUGAAGGUACAAACAUGUUGUG